UACGUAGGGUGCAAGCGUUGUCCGGAAUUAUUGGGCGUAAAGAGCUCGUAGGCGGUCUGUCGCGUCGGCUGUGAAAACCCGGAGCUCAACUCCGGGCCUGCAGUCGAUACGGGCAGACUGGAGUUCGGCAGGGGAGACUGGAAUUCCUGGUGUAGCGGUGAAAUGCGCAGAUAUCAGGAGGAACACCGGUGGCGAAGGCGGGUCUCUGGGCCGAUACUGACGCUGAGGCACGAAAGCGUGGGGAUCAAACAGG
rnacentral:rRNA from 1 species